AAGCAUUCCGCCUGGGGAGUACGGCCGCAAGGAUGAAACUCAAAGGAAUUGACGGGGGCCCGCACAAGCUGUGGAGCAUGUGGUUUAAUUCGAAGCUACGCGAAGAACCUUACCAGGUCUUGACAUGCUAUGCAAAUCUAAGAGAUUAGACGUUCCCUUCGGGGACAUGGAUACAGGUGGUGCAUGGUUGUCGUCAGCUCGUGUCGUGAGAUGUUGGGUUAAGUCCCGCAACGAGCGCAACCCUUAUUAUCAGUUGCCAGCAUUAAGUUGGGCACUCUGGUGAGACUGCCGGUGACAAACCGGAGGAAGGUGGGGAUGACGUCAAAUCAUCAUGCCCCUUAUGACCUGGGCUACACACGUGCUACAAUGGAUGGUACAACGAGUUGCGAACUCGCGAGAGUAAGCUAAUCUCUUAAAGCCAUUCUCAGUUCGGAUUGUAGGCUGCAACUCGCCUACAUGAAGUCGGAAUCGCUAGUAAUCGCGGAUCAGCAUGCCGGCGGUGAAUACGUUCCCGGGCCUUGUACACACCGCCCGGUCAACGGGCCCGAAUUGGGUAGC
rnacentral:rRNA from 1 species